rnacentral:lncRNA from 11 species
AUGCUUUAGUACCAUAUACAUAUGAUCCAACGAAGUUUCAUAAAACACCUGUGGCAAAAGAUUUUGUUAGUAGAGGUAGAUUUGUAAUUGUUGAAGAAUGAGUCUAUAGUUGUUGGUGAUUGUAUGUAAUGAAUUGUAAACUUGUGAAAGUGUUCCCCAUACAUGUAAGAAGAAAUUUUGUAUAUGUUUGUUUAACCUCAAUUGCAAAGUUAGACAUUCAGAGUGUAACAAUGUUAUAGAAGGUGAUUGAAGUGUGUUUGAGCUGUGUAUAUAACUGUGAUGACUAAAUUACAUUUAAAGAGGGGGAAUUGUUGAA